GUCUAAAAUGUAGGCAUUAUUUAUUUAGUGUCUAAAGAUAAACAUAGCAGUGGAGUAGUGGGCAAGUAGGCAAGUACAAAAAAUCGUGUGAGUGUUACACCUAUUGAAUUGCCGAGCCUACCGAUAACUCAUUAAAUAUACUACAAGGGAUUUUAAAAUAAAUCCAUUUCUUAUUUAAAUGAAAAUAAGGAUGAAAGAGUUAUUAAAAUGCCUUUAUAUAUUAGGUACAUAUCAUACAAUAAUUCAUUUAGAAUUUAUUUAGCAGUUUUAAAACUUUUACAAAAAUUUCGGCAAAGUGACGGCUAAAAAUUAAAAAAAAAAAAUUCUUCAAAACCUGUCAAAAAUAAUUUAAUUCACAAUUCAACUCAAUUCAACAUUGAAACAUCUCAUUCCAAUCUCAAUAUUAUAAAUUUUGCAUUAAUUAAAGUGACCAAAAUCACAUUACAAAGAUUUUUAUACAACUGCUCUAGUGUUAUACAUAAAUACAUUCAGAUACAUGUACAUUAAAACAAAUAUACAAGGGUAUACCUAAGUAACUGUUAGCUUAACAAAAGCUGUUUCAUGCUGUCGUAGAUCAGGAGAAGGAAGAAGCUGUAGAGUGAGCAGCAUUGAGGACAUGCACAACUUAAAAAUUUAAAGUUCAAUGCAAAUCAUAAUCUAUCAAAACUUAAUCAAUUACAAUGUCAAACACAUAUAAAAUAUUACAAUAUUUCUAGAACGAGAGAAUCAGUUAAUAAAAGCAAUUUUAUUUCAAAUAAUCAUUAAAAUAUAAGGGCUAGCUAACAUAUAUAUGAGUACUCAUUUAAUUCGUCCUCAACUGACAACACACCUCAACACUUUAACUAGAGAGGGCAAACAAAUCUAAUUUAUCUCACUAGGCAAGCUAGUGAGGAAUACAAAUCACAUAGUUUAUGUCAACUGUAGUUUCAAACCAUAUUCAAAUAAUUUUCCAUUCAUCAAAUGUAGUUGUCAACUCAUAAUCAUAUUCCAUUCAAAACAAUUACCCAAAGCAAUAAGAGUCACAAAUCAUUCACACAACUCAUUCAAACCAAUUUCAAUUUAAAAAACAAAGAGAUAGCAAUAUUGUGCACAAACCUCUUUACACUCUCCUUACUUAGUUCCACUUUCCUUCUCCUUAGGAGGCUCCUUUUCCACUGAAAAUAUACAAUGGAGAUGUCUCAAUACUCAAUUUAACUACCACUAAUAGUCAAUUAAUUAAAUGCCUAAUGAAUACCU
rnacentral:misc_RNA from 1 species